AGAGUUUGAUCCUGGCUCAGAGUGAACGCUGGCGGCGUGGAUUAGGCAUGCAAGUCGAACGAGACUAUAUUGGCUUUGCAGCAAUAGCAAUACUGUUGCAGAAUCGGUAUAGAAAAGUGGCAAAAGGGUGAGUAAUAUAUGGGUAAUUUGCCCUUGGGUUCGGAAUAACCUACCGAAAGGUGGGCUAAUACUGGAUAAGACCACGACCUGGCAUCAGGUUGAGGUUAAAGGGGAGGACCGCAAGGCUUCCCACCCAUUGAUGAGCCCAUAUCCUAUCAGCUAGUUGGUGAGGUAACGGCCCACCAAGGCUUUUGACGGGUAGCUGGCCUGAGAGGGUGGUCAGCCACAUUGGGACUGAGACACUGCCCAAACUCCUACGGGAGGCUGCAGUCGAGGAUCUUUAGCAAUGGACGAAAGUCUGACUAUGCGACGCCGCGUGGACGAUGAAGGCCUUCGGGUUGUAAAGUCCUGUCAGGUGGGAUGAAUACCGAUGACCUAAUACGUCAAAGGUUUGACAGUACCACCAGAGGAAGCCACGGCUAACUCCGUGCCAGCAGCCGCGGUAAUACGGAGGUGGCUAGCGUUACUCGGAUUUACUGGGUGUAAAGGGUAUGUAGGUGGGCUUGUAAGUCAAGUGUGAAGGCCCUUGGCUCAACCAAGGAAGUGCGCUUGAAACUGCUUGUCUUGAGUAUGGGAGAGGAGAACGGAAUUCCCGGUGUAAGGGUGAAAUCUGUAGAUAUCGGGAGGAACACCAGUGGCGAAAGCGGUUCUCUAGCCCGUAACUGACACUGAAAUACGAAAGCUUGGGUAGCAAACAGGAUUAGAUACCCUGGUAGUCCAAGCCGUAAACGAUGGGCACUAGGUGUAGUCUCGGAAGGGGCUGUGCCGCAGUUAACACAUUAAGUGCCCCACCUGGGGAGUACGGCGGCAACGUUGAAACUCAAAGGAAUUGACGGGGACCCGCACAAGCGGUGGAGCAUGUGGUUUAAUACGACGCUACGCGUGGAACCUUACCAAGGUUUGACAUGUAAGUAGUAGCCAACUGAAAAGACGGUGACUCCGCAAGGAGAGCUUACACAGGUGUUGCAUGGCUGUCGUCAGCUCGUGUCGUGAGAUGUUGGGUUAAGUCCCGCAACGAGCGCAACCCUCGUUGUUAAUUGCUAACCAGUAAUGGUGCACUCUAACGAGACUGCCUGUGUUUAACAGGAGGAAGGUGGGGAUGACGUCAAGUCAGUACGGCCCUUAUGCCUUGGGCGACACACGUGCUACAAUCCCAGCUACAAAGAGACGCAAGACCGCAAGGUGGAGCAAACCUCAAAAAGGCUGGGUCAGUUCGGAUUGAGGGCUGCAAUUCGCCCUCAUGAAGCUGGAAUCGCUAGUAACCGCGCAUCAGCCACGGCGCAGUGAAUACGUUCCCGGGUCUUGUACACACCGCCCGUCAAGCCACCUGAGUUGACUGCACCCGAAGCCGCAUUCCUUGACCCGCAAGGGGAGGGGGCGUCGAAGGUGUGGUUGAUGAGGAGGGCUAAGUCGGAACAAGGUA
rnacentral:rRNA from 1 species